GCCGUUCGCCCGGUCUCCUGCGCCGGCAGCCAGUGGGGACUCUGGGAGAAACAAAGAAGGCGGGGAAAGGCGGAGGGGUGCGGCCGAAGGCCCCGCCUUCUCUGCGCAGCGUUGUGUUUGUUGCUCCCGGGAGAGCUCGCGGGGUCCGGGCUGUGGAGGGAUUAAAGAUUUAACUCUCUGCUGGCUGAGGAAAUUCCAAAACCUGCUUUUAUCAGUAGUUUGAAAAAAAUGACGCGCAUUUAAGAGACUCAAGGAUUCAGAGUCCCUGACAUUACACAAGAUCCGUCAGAUUCGUAAUGGAAACGAGAUGAAAGAAAAGCAGUGUUACAGUGCAAGCUUCUUUUUGCUUAUUGAACCUGCCAUUAGCUGACAUUAUCGAUGCAGAUUUGCUGAAGUUCAACCAACAUUGUUGCUGUUGUGAACCAACUGUUCUUAUUAUAUCAGAUAAGAAUUUAAUGCAGUGAGCAAAGUCAGAGAUGGCCCUGGCCCUGUGGCACCUGCAGCUGAUGGUGGAGAUAACAAUUAUUAUUAUUCAGUCAUCAUACAAUCAUCAUCAUUCUCAUCAUCACUUUCUCAAGACUGUCCUGCGGUUGGAAGCAUGCAGCAUGUCACCUGUUGAGACAGGCUGCUGUCAUUUGGUAACAUGCACUUAAGUUCAAUGGUAGAUCUUCAUGAUGCUAUGUUCAAUUUGAUUUGCCUGGUCCCAUUGGGCAUUGCGCUAAUUCGGAUUCUGGUUUGGAAUCUGUUCUCAGCGAAGAGCAAGACAGAUUACACAGAAAUGCCUUAAAGCCAACACCAGCAUCAUGGAAUAAAAAAAAAAAAUCAGUUGUCAGUGCUUACAGACUUUAUAUUAUAGCAGAAAAUAAAACUGUU